rnacentral:rRNA from 1 species
CGACGGUAACAGGUGUAGCAAUACAUGCUGACGAGUGGCGCACGGGUGCGUAACACGUAUGCAACCUACCCAUAACUGGAGGAUAGCCCGAAGAAAUUCGGAUUAAUACUCCAUAGUAUAAUUGAAGAGGCAUCUCUUUAUUAUUAAAACUCAGGUGGUUAUGGAUGGGCAUGCGUUGCAUUAGCUAGUUGGUGAGGUAAUGGCUCACCAAGGCUACGAUGCAUAGGGGAUCUGAGAGGAUUAUCCCCCACACUGGUACUGAGACACGGACCAGACUCCUACGGGAGGCAGCAGUAAGGAAUAUUGGACAAUGGUGGCAACACUGAUCCAGCCAUGCCGCGUGAAGGAUGAAGGCGCUAUGCGUCGUAAACUUCUUUUGAACGGGAGAAACCCCUGAUACGUGUAUCAGGCUGAUAGUACCGUUAGAAUAAGGGUCGGCUAACUUCGUGCCAGCAGCCGCGGUAAUACGAAGGACCCGAGCGUUAUCCGGAUUCAUUGGGUUUAAAGGGUGCGUAGGCGGAAUGAUAAGUCAGUGGUGAAAUCCUGCAGCUCAACUGCAGAACUGCCAUUGAUACUGUCGUUCUUGAAUGCAACUGAUGUGGGCGGAAUGUGCCAUGUAGUGGUGAAAUACUUAGAUAUGGCACAGAACACCGAUUGCGAAGGCAGCUCACAAAAUUGUUAUUGACGCUGAUGCACGAAAGCGUGGGGAUCAAACAGGAUUAGAUACCCUGGUAGUCCACGCCCUAAACGAUGAUCACUCGAUGUUGGCGAUACACUGUCAGCGUCCAAGCGAAAGCGUUAAAUGAUCCACCUG